GACGUAGGGGGCAAGCGUUGUCCGGAAUUACUGGGCGUAAAGGGCGUGUAGGCGGUGCGAUACGUAGCGGUUUUAAGCCUCCGGCUCACCCGGAGGAGGGCGGCUAAACGGUCGCACUGGAGGGCAGGAGAGGUGCGUGGAAUUCCUGGUGGAGCGGUGAAAUGCGUAGAGAUCAGGAAGAACACCAGUGGCGAAGGCGGCGCACUGGCCUGACCCUGACGCUGAGGCGCGACAGCGUGGGGAGCAAACGGG
rnacentral:rRNA from 1 species